GUUGGAGGCGGCAGUAGGAGAGGUGAUGUUAUUUACAUGGGACUGUAUGUUGAAGGUGGCUGGGGAGGGGGUGAUGUUAUUUACGUGGGAAUGUAUUUUGGAGAGGGCUGUGGAUAGAGAGGGAUGUUAUUUACAUGGGACUGUAUAUUGGAGGGGGCUGA